rnacentral:rRNA from 1 species
GAUGAACGCUGGCGGCGUGCCUAAUACAUGCAAGUCGAGCGAACGGACGAGAAGCUUGCUUUUCUGAUGUUAGCGGCGGACGGGUGAGUAACACGUGGAUAACCUACCUAUAAGACUGGGAUAACUUCGGGAAACCGGAGCUAAUACCGGAUAAUAUUUUGAACCGCAUUGUUCAAAAGUGAAAGACGGUCUUGCUGUCACUUAUCGAUGGAUCCGCGCUGCAUUAGCUAGUUGGUAAGGUAACGGCCUACCAAGGCAACGAUGCAUAGCCGACCUGAGAGGGUGAUCGGCAAAACGGGAACUGAGACACGGUCCGGACUCCUACGGGGGGCAGCAGUAGGGAAUCUUCCGCAAUGAGCGAAAGCCUGACGGAGCAACGCCGCGUGAGUGAUGAGGGUCUUCGGAUCGUAAAACUCUGUUAUUAGGGAGGAACAUAUGUGUAAGUAACUGUGCACAUCUUGACGGUACCUAAUCAGAAAGCCACGGCUAACUACGUG